rnacentral:lncRNA from 1 species
GAAAAACUUAGACUUUUAGUUAAAUAAAACUGAUCAAGAGCCUACAAGAGAAGUGAUUUCAUUCCCGUGUUGGUUUUUGUUGUUGCCCUUGUUAGACUGCUAACAAAAAGUAUUUAGCAAGUGGUCAUCAGUCUUACUGUUGCUUCCCUUCACUGACUUCCAGCGAAAGAAUUAAUUUCACAGUUUUAGUCAAAAAGUAAAAAAGCGCUGUACAAAUACAGUUAUGAUAAUUACUAAAUUUGAUCAGUGAAAGAACAUGGAUGUUUGAAUGGAUGGGUUAUAAUUCUUCCUCCUCACAGCUCGUCUGACUGUGAGUCCCAGCAGCUCUCAGGUGUUUGAAGGAGACUUUGUGUCUCUGAGCUGUGAGGAGGACGACAGCUCUGCUGGAUGGACUCUGAGGAGAAACACAAGCAAAAAACAGAGGACUCAGUGUGGAGAUGGGUGGGGAGAACCAGCUGGUUCUUCAUGUAACAUCAGUCGCAUCAUCUCGGACAGUGGAGUUUACUGGUGUGAGUCCAGAGAGGGUCCCAUCAGUAACAUGGUUAACCUGACAGUCACUGAUUCAUGAAGCUUCAUGUUCAGCAGUGAGAUCUGGCGUCAGCUGCCUUUGAGACUCUUCAAUUCUUCAGUUCUUUAAUUCUUCUUUAUUAAAAUCUUUCUUUAGACAAGCUACAAAAUCACCACACCCUCAUAGCCUGUAAUCUUACAUUCAAGUUUGUGUAAUUUCACAGCUCCAUCUGUGUUAAACUUCACUCAUUGGCCACUUUAUUAGGUACAUCUGAUCAUCACCACAUGACAGCCACUCAGUGCAUUUAGACAUGUGUGCAUGGUCAAGUCAACCUGCUAAACAUCAAUCAGAGCAUUACGAUGGAGAAGAAAG